AUUGAACGCUGGCGGCAUGCCUUACACAUGCAAGUCGAACGGUAACAGGUCUUCGGAUGCUGACGAGUGGCGAACGGGUGAGUAAUACAUCGGAACGUGCCUAGUAGUGGGGGAUAACUACUCGAAAGAGUGGCUAAUACCGCAUGAGAUCUACGGAUGAAAGCAGGGGAUCGCAAGACCUUGUGCUACUAGAGCGGCCGAUGGCAGAUUAGGUAGUUGGUGGGAUAAAAGCUUACCAAGCCGACGAUCUGUAGCUGGUCUGGGAGGACGAUCAGCCACACUGUGACUGAGACACGGCCCAGACUCCUACGGGAGGCAGCAGUGGGGAAUUUUGGACAAUGGGCGAAAGCCUGAUCCAGCAAUGCCGCGUGCAGGAUGAAGGCCUUCGGGUUGUAAACUGCUUUUGUACGAAACGAAAAGCCCUGGGUUAAUACCCUGGGGUCAUGACGGUACCGUAAGAAUAAGCACCGGCUAACUACGUGCCAGCCGCCGCAGUAA
rnacentral:rRNA from 1 species